rnacentral:rRNA from 1 species
GAUGAACGCUGGCGGCGUGCCUAAUACAUGCAAGUCGAGCGAACCGGGGACGGGUGAGUAACACGAGGAUAACCUCCUAUAAGACUGGGGUAACUUAGGGGAACCUGAGCCAAACCGGUUACUUAUAGAUGGAUCCGAGCUGCAUUAGCUAGUUGGUACGGUAACGGCUUACCAAUGCAACGCUGCAUAGACGACCUGUGAGGGUGAUCGGCCACACUGGAACUGAGACACGGUCCAGACUCCUACGGGAGUCAGCAGUAGGGAAUAUUCGGCAAUGGGCGAAAGCCUGACGGAGCAACGCCGCGUGAGUGAUGAAGGUCUUCGGAUCGUAAAACUCUUUUAUUAGGGAAGCGGUACCUACACAGAAAGCCACGGCUAACUACGUGCCAGCAGCCGCGGUAAUAC